GUUCGUACCCAAAUCCCAUGGCCUAAGGCAGCGCACGAACCGAUUUUUCCAGAGGGCGGCGACGGCGGCGGUGGCGGCCCAGAUCCCCUUCUCCAAGCUAGUCGAGUACUCCCUCCUCUGGAUCUCUCAAUGGUUCCUUCCCGUUGUGUGGCUGGCGACCCAGUUUGAUGCGGACCAGGUCGGAGUUCGUCAGCCGCAAACCUCCGCCCCACAUUGUCCUCGUCGCAGCCUCCCUUCUGAAGGUCUGAUAGCUCUAGGAUCCAGUAGUGGAGGGGAGUAGCGCAUGCCGCCUUUAGGAGAGCCCGGGGCUACAAUGAUCACAGCAUGUGCACCAGCACUAUCAGCUGUGGAAUCAAAAUCAAGAUUUUAGUGAUGCUACCUCGUUUGCACAGAUCAAUUCCCCCAUGCUUCUCAUCGAUGAUUUCAGUACUCCAAAAAAGAAACAAUCAUUUUCUCAAGAGGUCUAUGCAUGCUCGUGCAAGCUUUAACCUCGCGUGAAACUGGAGCCUAUGUUCCUAUUUUCUGAAGGUACCAAGAUUUAUUUUGUGCAUGCCCAAUAUGUUUGUAACCAUGUCCAAGUCCUUAUGAUAUGGGUAUAGUCAAAUUUGUAAUUGUAACACUCUCUAACCUUCACCACUAUGAAACUUUUAUGGGCUAGUUUUUAUGCAAGCAGAUAACGUCCAUUCAGUGGUAUAAACAUAUGCGUGUUAUGCUGAUCUCUUGCCAAAAAAGAGUUUUAAUGUUGUUCGUUUUCUAACAUAAUCUGUAAUGGAAUAAUGAAUAUGAGGCAACAAAUAUUUGUAUUGUCUCUGUUAGACAUCUCCUGCUAUUUCGUACUCC